UAGAGAGAGGGCGAACCAGAAGGCAAUCCUCCGCACGCUGAUGGGAGGGAGAGUUAAAAGGAGAGGGACGUGAGAAGACCGGGGAGGGGAGGGAAGGAGCAGACCUGAGACGAUGUGUCCAGCCGCGAUGAGGUGGCAUCAGGGGAGGAAAGUUGGAGAGCAUUCUGCGGGGCACGCCUGAUUUUGAGGCACAAGCCCCUUGAAGACACAGGGUCCAGGCUGAACACUUCAUAGGUUAUUGCUUACUGAACGAAGGAAAGUCGUACUCAACUCUGCUUUUGAAAGUCAGCAGUAAGAACUCAGUUUGUGAUUACUUUUUCAAUAUUCUAUUGUAAGAUCCAACAAAUCACUUCUAAGGGAAAGGAAGACAUGAAAACAGACUUAGUGCAAUGCUGCCAGUGACCGGCCUGCAGCAGAUGGCAUUGGGCUUGCUUCAGCCUUAGUCCUUUUGCAAUGGGAUUUUUCCCUUCCAGACUGAGCUACUUGAGGGCAAAGACUGAUCCCGUUUUUAAAAAAAUCAUGGGGACUUCCCUGGUGGCACAGUGGUUAAGAAUCUGCCUGCCAAUGCAGGGGACACAGGUUCGAGCCCUGGUCUGGGAAGAUCCCACAUGCUGCGGAGCAACUAAGCCCGUGCACCACAACUACUGAGCCUGCGCUCUAGAGCCUACGAGCCACAACUACUGAGCCCACGUGCCACAACUACUGAAGCCCAUGUGCCUAGAGCCUGUGCUCCACAACAAGAGAAGCCACUGCAAUGAGAAAAGCGGCCCACGCACUGCAACGAAGAGUAGCGCCUGCUUGCCACAACUAGAGAAAGCCCGCACACAGCAACGAAGACCCAACGCAGCCAAAUAAAUAAAUAAAUAAAUAAAAUCAUGUUUGGGGCGGUGUCAGUCAA